CGUAGCUGGUAGGAUUCGAACCUACGCGGGAAGAUCCCAAUGGAUUUCUAGUCCAUCGCCUUAACCGCUCGGCCACAGCUAC
rnacentral:tRNA from 13 species